UGUCACCCCCUCACUCUGUCACUAGUCACCCCCUCACUCUAGUGACAGAGUGAGGGAGGGGGUGACUAGUGACAGAGUGAGAGACAGGGUGACUAGUGACAGAGUGAGGAAGGGGGUGACACAGUGACAGAGUGGGGGAGGGGGUGACUAGUGACAGAGUGAAGGAGGUGGUGACUGUCACUAGUCACCCCCUUCCUCUCUCUGUCACUAGUGACACCCUCCCUCACUCUGUCACUAGUCACCCCCUCCCUCACUGUCACUAGUCACCCCCUCCCUCUCUCUGUCACUAGUCACACCCUCCCUCACUCUUUCACUAGAGUGA